GCCCCGCGCGCACUGAAACCCGAGCCGCGGGAUCGAUAACCCGGGAGAAAUCCAUUUCUAGCUUCAGUCCUACGUGCGUGGAGUUGGCGGAAAGUCUCCCACUGGCGGGGAGAUGGGCAGUCAGGAGUCUUCAGCGGAGGCAAGCAGGUUGAAAACUAGCGUGAUGCAAUGCCAGUAAGUUCUAAGUCCCUCCCCUCAAGUACCGCGGGCUCGGGAGAAUCAGAGGGCAUCCUUAAAGAAAUAUCGAUACAGUCACACUCGGGUGGGCACAACCGCCCGCGACCGAGUGGCGGUGGAAGCUCUGUGAUCCGGGCAGGGGCCAGCCCGGUGGCCUCUGGACCCCCACCCUU